rnacentral:rRNA from 1 species
GACGAACGCUGGCGGCGUGCUUAACACAUGCAAGUCGAACGGAAAGGCCCUGCUUUUGUGGGGUGCUCGAGUGGCGAACGGGUGAGUAACACGUGAGUAACCUGCCCUUGACUUUGGGAUAACUUCAGGAAACUGGGGCUAAUACCGGAUAGGAGCUCCUGCUGCAUGGUGGGGGUUGGAAAGUUUCGGCGGUUGGGGAUGGACUCGCGGCUUAUCAGCUUGUUGGUGGGGUAGUGGCUUACCAAGGCUUUGACGGGUAGCCGGCCUGAGAGGGUGACCGGCCACAUUGGGACUGAGAUACGGACCAGAAUCCUACGGGAGGCAGCAGUGGGGAAUAUUGCACAGUGGGCGGAAGCCUGAUGCAGCAACGCCGCGUGCGGGAUGACGGCCUUCGGGUUGUAAACAGCUUUCGACUGUGACGAAGCGUGAGUGACGGUAAUGGGUAAAGAAGCACCGGCUAACUACGUG